rnacentral:rRNA from 1 species
GUGCCAGCAGCCGCGGUAAUACGUAGGUGGCAAGCGUUGUCCCGGAAUUAUUGGGCGUAAAGCGCGCGCAGGCGGUUUCUUAAGUCUGAUGUGAAAUCUUGCGGCUCAACCGCAAGCGGCCAUUGGAAACUGGGAGACUUGAGUGCAGAAGAGGAGAGUGGAAUUCCACGUGUAGCGGUGAAAUGCGUAGAGAUGUGGAGGAACACCAGUGGCGAAGGCGACUCUCUGGUCUGUAACUGACGCUGAGGCGCGAAAGCGUGGGGAGCGAACAGGAUUAGAUACCCUGGUAGUCCACGCCGUAAACGAUGAGUGCUAAGUGUUAGAGGGUUUCCGCCCUUUAGUGCUGCAGCUAACGCAUUAAGCACUCCGCCUGGGGAGUACGGCCGCAAGGCUGAAACUCAAAGGAAUUGACGG